rnacentral:rRNA from 1 species
UACGUAGGGUGCAAGCGUUGUUCGGAAUUACUGGGCGUAAAGGGCGCGUAGGCGGCCACCGCAAGUCAAUUGUGAAAUCUCCGGGCUUAACUCGGAAAGGUCAACUGAUACUGCGGGGCUAGAGUGCGGAAGGGGCAACUGGAAUUCUCGGUGUAGCGGUGAAAUGCGUAGAUAUCGAGAGGAACACCUGCGGCGAAGGCGGGUUGCUGGGCCGACACUGACGCUGAUGCGCGAAAGCCAGGGGAGCGAACGGG